UACGGAGGGGGCUAGCGUUGUUCGGAAUGACUGGGCGUAAAGCGCGCGUAGGCGGAUCGCAAAGUCGGGGGUGAAAUCCCGGGGCUCAACCCCGGAAUGGCCUUCGGGACUCGCGGUCUUGAGUUCGAGAGAGGUGGGUGGAAUUCCGAGUGUAGAGGUGAAAUUCGUAGAUAUUCGGAGGAACACCAGUGGCGAAGGCGGCCCACUGGCUCGACACUGACGCUGAGGCGCGAAAGCGUGGGGAGCAAACGGG
rnacentral:rRNA from 1 species